AUUGAACGCUGGCGGCAUGCUUUACACAUGCAAGUCGAACGGUAACAGGCCGCAAGGUGCUGACGAGUGGCGCACGGGUGAGUAAUGCAUCGGAACGUGCCCAGUCGUGGGGGAUGACUACUCGAAAGAGUAGCUAAUACCGCAUACGAUCUAUGGAUGAAAGCGGGGGACCGUAAGGCCUCGCGCGAUUGGAGUGGCCGAUGUCAGAUUAGGUAGUUGGUGGGGUAAAGGCUCACCAAGCCAACGAUCUGUAGCUGGUCUGAGAGGACGACCAGCCACACUGGGACUGAGACACGGCCCAGACUCCUACGGGAGGCAGCAGUGGGGAAUUUUGGACAAUGGGCGCAAGCCUGUUCCAGCAAUGCCGCGUGCAGGAAGAAGGCCUUCGGGUUGUAAACUGCUUUUGUACGGAACGAAACGGCUCUGGUUAAUACCCGGGGCUAAUGACGGUACCGUAAGAAUAAGCACCGGCUAACUACGUG
rnacentral:rRNA from 1 species